UAGUCCACACCGUAAACGAUGAAUGCCAGUCGUCGGGUAGCAUGCUAUUCGGUGACACACCUAACGGAUUAAGCAUUCCGCCUGGGGAGUACGCCGGCAACGGUAAAACUCAAAUGAAUUGACGGGGGCCCGCACAAGCGGUGGAGCAUGUGGUUUAAUUCGAUGCAACGCGAAGAACCUUACCUACACUUGACAUUCAGCGAACUUACCAGAGAUGGUUUGGUGCCUUCGGGAACGCUGGGACAGGUGCUGCAUGGCUGUCGUCAGCUCGUGUCGUGAGAUGUCGGGUUAAGUCCCUUAACGAGCGAAACCCUUAUCAUUAGUUGCCAGCGAGUCAUGUCGGGGACUCUAAUGAGACUGCCGGUGUUAAACCGGAGGAAGGUGGGGAUGACGUCAAGUCCUCAUGGCCUUUAUGCCUAGGGCUGCACACGUCCUACAAUGCACUGUACAAAGCGACGCAAAAUCGCAAGAUCUAGCAAACCGCAUAAAGCAGUGCC
rnacentral:rRNA from 1 species